AGAGUUUGAUCAUGGCUCAGGAUGAACGCUAGCGGCAGGCUUAAUACAUGCAAGUCGAGGGGGAUCAGUUGGGUAGCAAUACUCGGCUGUGAGACCGGCAAACGGGUGCGGAACACGUACGCAACCUUCCCAAAACUGGGGAAUAGCCCUCCGAAAGGAGGAUUAAUACCCCGUAACAUAAUGAAGUGGCAUCACUUUAUUAUUAUAGCUCCGGCGGUUUUGGAUGGGCGUGCGCCUGAUUAGGUAGUUGGCGGGGUAACGGCCCACCAAGCCUACGAUCAGUAACUGGUGUGAGAGCACGACCAGUCACACGGGCACUGAGACACGGGCCCGACUCCUACGGGAGGCAGCAGUAAGGAAUAUUGGUCAAUGGACGAAAGUCUGAACCAGCCAUGCCGCGUGAAGGAUGAAGGCCCUCUGGGUUGUAAACUUCUUUUAUAGGGGACGAAAAAAGGGCAUUCUUGCUCACUUGACGGUACCCUAGGAAUAAGCACCGGCUAACUCCGUGCCAGCAGCCGCGGUAAUACGGAGGGUGCAAGCGUUAUCCGGAUUCACUGGGUUUAAAGGGUGCGUAGGUGGGUCUGUAAGUCAGUGGUGAAAUCUCCGAGCUUAACUCGGAAACUGCCAUUGAUACUAUAGAUCUUGAAUAUCCUGGAGGUGAGCGGAAUAUGUCAUGUAGCGGUGAAAUGCUUAGAUAUGACAUAGAACACCAAUUGCGAAGGCAGCUCGCUACGGGAUUAUUGACACUGAGGCACGAAAGCGUGGGGAUCAAACAGGAUUAGAUACCCUAGUAGUCC
rnacentral:rRNA from 1 species